rnacentral:rRNA from 1 species
UAAGGAAUAUUGGACAAUGGCCGCAAGGCUGAUCCAGCCAUGCCGCGUGCAGGAUGACGGUGCUCUGCAUUGUAAACUGCUUUUGUUCGGGAAUAAACCCUUUCACGUGUGAGAGGUUGAAUGUACCGAAAGAAUAAGGGACGGCUAACUUCGUGCCAGCAGCCGCGGUAAUACGAAGGUCCCAAGCGUUAUCCGGAUUUAUUGGGUUUAAAGGGUGCGUAGGCGGGCUAUUAAGUCAGUGGUGAAAGCUCCCAGCUUAACUGGGAAACUGCCAUUGAUACUGAUAGUCUUGAGUAUGAUUGAAGUGGGCGGAAUGUGUCAUGUAGCGGUGAAAUGCUUAGAUAUGACACAGAACACCGAUUGCGAAGGCAGCUCACUAAGCCAUAACUGACGCUGAUGCACGAAAGCGUGGGGAGCAAACAGG